rnacentral:sRNA from 1 species
AUGCAUGCUCUUCAUGUGUUAUUACAAAACGUACCCUUGACACUUUUACCAUUUUUUUAACCAUCCUUUUUUUCCCAUUUACUGUAUAGUCAAAGUUUCACAACCCAAACAAGCAAAAGUGAAGAGAAUUACAUGAAGGAGACGGCACUGAACUACAACGCGGAUGAACAAAUAAAAUUUAAUAUUAGGGCAUUCCUUUCAUGUAGUCUUGUUAAGAUUCUUUUCCCUUCUCUAGAGUGUUCUGGUGUUGUAGGCAACCACAGCUUAGUGGCUUCCUUUAUCAUGCCAAAUAAGAAAGAGAUAGGCCUCUGCUUUUGUUAGUGUUUCCCCGUGCAAAGGAGGAGUUUUAUUUUGUCACAAAAUUGAAAGGUAGCAACCAUUGUGACAUAUAAUACACCUUUUUUGCAUGGAGGAGGAGAAGAAAGCAUCUAUUCCAGCCCUGCCUUUUUGACAAUGCUUAGUUGUCCAAGAGGGGUUUGUUUAUAUCUCGCUUUACUGCAUGAUUAAACGGAAAACGCUGGUCAUUGUCCAUAUUAGCAAAAGCUUAAUUAGUUAACAGAUUCAUCUAGAAUCAACAUCUUGAGCCGCCCCGGGGUGGGGGGGGGACAGGUAUUUUGAUAUGUUUUUGUCACACAGGGAAAAGGAAAAUUCAGCCAUCCUUGAGAUAUCAUGCACUUGCUUAGCACUGAGAAAUUAAUUAGAUUGUAUGCCUUUAUUGGAGAACUAACUUCUACAUUGUCUCAUGGCUUAUGUGCAUGCUGAGGUAAUGAACCGCUAUACAAAGAUGUAAACGUAAGUGGCAAAAAUGAAGCCGGAGAGAGAUGCACAUCUUGGUGAUAAGAGAUUGCGACAUCGUAGCCAUCCUGAUUUCUGCAGUUCUCAUUCAAGAAAAGGAAAAGGAGACUUUGACCCAUCGACUUUUUAACACCGUCGAUUUCAGGAACAAAAAAAAGAAAAAGCCAUCACGGUCAGGAGUGGUUCACGUCGUCGUCUGGUGAGUUCUUGUUGAGUUCUGGGAGGAGUGAAGAAUAUGGCGGCCUCGGCCGGCGUCAGUGACGAGCACGUAUGCGGUAGCACAGCAGCGACAGAAAAUAUUCAGAAAUAGAAGGGAUGCAUGCAGAGAGAUAGGUGCGUGGCGUCUGCCGUUUGGUGGUAACGUAGAGCCGCUUUAACUCCUGCAGCUAAAAUAUUUAUUAGAUGUUCUUUUGCACUGUCAAAUUUGUUUUUUUUAAAAGAAAUCCUCGAGCUGCAAAUUCGAAUUUGUUAGGCACAUGUCUCAUUCUCAUUGUUGACGAGUUAAUCAUUCUUUUUUUUUUUCUUC